rnacentral:rRNA from 1 species
UCCUACGGGGGGCAGCAGUGGGGGAUAUUGCACAAUGGGGGGGGACCCUGAUGCGGCGACGCCGCGUGGGUGAAGGAGUGCUUCGGCAUGUAAAGCCCUAUCGGCAGGGAAGAAGCAAGACGGUACCUGACUAAGAAGCCCCGGCUAACUACGUGCCAGCAGCCGCGGUAAUACGUAGGGGGCGAGCGUUAUCCGGAUUCACUGGGUGUAAAGGGAGGGUAGACGGCCAUGCAAGCCAGGGGGGAAAGCCCGGGGCCCAACCCCGGGACCGCCCUUGGAACUGUGCGGCUCGAGU